rnacentral:misc_RNA from 1 species
UUGGGAGCUAUUGAGAUGGCACGGGCACUUGCUACACAGAUACACUGGGAAGCGAGGGUGAUUGACUUACGGAAUGGUAGUGACCAGCGGCUACUUGUUUGCCAGAAACCAUUUGUGAGAAAAUGAUUGAUCUAUCAUCAUGGGGUCUCACCAUCACCAAAGUGUACAAACCUUUUUGCUCUGGUCAUGAAUAUUUUUGAUAGCAUCACUGUGUGGCUUGGGGAAGAUGUAGAGUUAGAAGGAAG